rnacentral:rRNA from 1 species
UACGAAGGUGGCAAGCGUUACUCGGAAUUACUAGGCGUAAAGGGCAGGUAGGUGGUUUGGUUAGUCUGUUGUGAAAGCUCCCGGCUUAACUGGGAGAGGUCAACGGAUACUGCCGAACUUGAGUAUAGGAGAGGUUACUGGAAUUCCCGGUGUAGCGGUGAAAUGCGCAGAGAUCGGGAGGAACACCAAUGGCGAAAGCAGGUAACUGGACUAUUACUGACACUCAGCUGCGAAAGCUAGGGGAGCAAACAGG